UACGGGGGGAGCAAGCGUUGUUCGGAUUUACUGGGCGUAAAGGGCGCGUAGGCGGUCAGCACAAGUCAGUUGUGAAAUCUCCGGGCUUAACCCGGAAAGGUCAACUGAUACUGUGCGACUAGAGUGCGGAAGGGGCAACUGGAAUUCUCGGUGUAGCGGUGAAAUGCGUAGAUAUCGAGAGGAACACCUGCGGCGAAGGCGGGUUGCUGGGCUGACACAUGACGCUGAGGCGCGGAAAGCCAGGGGAGCAAACGGG
rnacentral:rRNA from 1 species